CUUAUCCUGGGGUGUGCGGCAGUUCCAUCUAUUUUUGAACCUACAUUGACGUGAAAGGGUUCCCUAUGAUUGCCGUGCGGAUGUCAGGCCUCCUUGCAGAGGAAGGCUGAAGUACGGUUGCGGUUACCCACCUUGGCUUGUGAGCUAGGGAGUCAAAAAGUGGGGCACCGGCAUUCUGGGGGUUGA
rnacentral:other from 1 species